rnacentral:rRNA from 1 species
GACGAACGCUGGCGGCGUGCCUAAUACAUGCAAGUUGAGCGCUGAAGGUUGGUACUUGUACCAACUGGAUGAGCAGCGAACGGGUGAGUAACGCGUGGGGAAUCUGCCUUUGAGCGGGGGACAACAUUUGGAAACGAAUGCUAAUACCGCAUAAAAACUUUAAACACAAGUUUUAAGUUUGAAAGAUGCAAUUGCAUCACUCAAAGAUGAUCCCGCGUUGUAUUAGCUAGUUGGUGAGGUAAAGGCUCACCAAGGCGAUGAUACAUAGCCGACCUGAGAGGGUGAUCGGCCACAUUGGAACUGAGACACGGCCCAAACUCCUACGGGAGGCAGCAGUAGGGAAUCUUCGGCAAUGGACGAAAGUCUGACCGAGCAACGCCGCGUGAGUGAAGAAGGUUGUCGGAUCGUAAAACUCUGUUGGUAGAGAAGAACGUUGGUGAGAGUGGAAAGCUCAUCAAGUGACGGUAACUACCCAGAAAGGGACGGCUAACUACGUG